rnacentral:rRNA from 1 species
UCGACUACAUGAAGCUGGAAUCGCUAGUAAUCGUAGAUCAGCAUGCUACGGUGAAUACGUUCCCGGGUCUUGUACACACCGCCCGUCACACCACGAGAGUUUGUAACACCCGAAGCCGGUGGAGUAACCUUUUAGGAGCUAGCCGUCGAAGGUGGGACAAAUGAUUGGGGUGAAGUCGUAACAAGGUAGCCGUAUCGGAAGGUGCGGCU